AAAAAGGGUACUCACUUUACUUUUAUUCAUAGUGCAUCGUUGGCCGCAUAUUAAAUGCAGUCAAUGGUGGGAUAUGACUAUCAAGACAUACCCAGUACAUAAUUUUUGUAGCCAGAGGCUGUUAUACAUGAAGACGCCUCU